rnacentral:rRNA from 1 species
AUUGAACGCUGGCGGCAGGCUUAACACAUGCAAGUCGAGCGGAGAUGAGGUGCUUGCACCUUAUCUUAGCGGCGGACGGGUGAGUAAUGCUUGGGAAUCUGCCUAUUAGUGGGGGACAACAUUCCGAAAGGAAUGCUAAUACCGCAUACGUCCUACGGGAGAAAGCAGGGGAUCUUCGGACCUUGCGCUAAUAGAUGAGCCUAAGUCGGAUUAGCUAGUUGGUGGGGUAAAGGCCUACCAAGGCGACGAUCUGUAGCGGGUCUGAGAGGAUGAUCCGCCACACUGGGACUGAGAAACGGCGCAGACUCCUACGGGAGGAAGCAGUGGGGAAUAUUGGACAAUGGGCGGAAGCCUGAUCCAGCCAUGCCGUGUGUGUGAAGAAGGCCUUUUGGUUGUAAAGCACUUUAAGCGAGGAGGAGGCUACCUGGAUUAAUACUCUAGGAUAGUGGACGUUACUCGCAGAGUAAGCACCGGCUAACUCUGUGCCAGCAGCCGCCGUAACAC